UACGAGGGGGGCAAGCGUUGUUCGGAAUUAUUGGGCGUAGAGAGCGUGUAGGCGGCCAUACAGGUCAGCUGUGAAAACUCGAGGCUCAACCUCGAGACGUCGGUUGAAACCGUAUGGCUAGAGUCCGGAAGAGGAGAGUGGAAUUCCCGGUGUAGCGGUGAAAUGCGCAGAUAUCGGGAAGAACACCCGUGGCGAAGGCGGCUCUUUGGUCUGUAACUGACGCUGAGGCGCGACAGCGUGGGGAGCAAACAGG
rnacentral:rRNA from 1 species